rnacentral:tRNA from 1 species
UUUAAAGCUUAAUUAGUAAAGUAUUUCAUUUACAUUGAAAAGAAAUUUGUGCAAAUCAAUUUAAAUUGAUUA